UACAGAGGUCCCAAGCGUUGUUCGGAUUCACUGGGCGUAAAGGGUGCGUAGGUGGUGGAUUAAGUCGGGUGUGAAAUCUCCGGGCUCAACCCGGAGGGUGCGCCCGAAACUGAUCCGCUAGAGGGUGGGAGGGGAGACUGGAAUUCUCGGUGUAGCAGUGAAAUGCGUAGAUAUCGAGAGGAACACCGGUGGCGAAGGCGAGUCUCUGGACCACUCCUGACACUGAGGCACGAAAGCCGGGGGAG
rnacentral:rRNA from 1 species